rnacentral:rRNA from 1 species
GACGAACGCUGGCGGCGUGCCUAAUACAUGCAAGUCGAACGAAGCUUUUUUAACUGGUGCUUGCACCGACUUAAACAACUGAGUGGCGAACGGGUGAGUAACACGUGGGUAACCUGCCCCAAAGCGGGGGAUAACAUUUGGAAACAGAUGCUAAUACCGCAUAACCACAGAAACCACAUGGUUUCUGUGUCAAAGAUGGUUUCGGCUAUCACUUUGGGAUGGACGCGCGGCGUAUUAACUAGUUGGUAAGGUAAUGGCUUACCAAGGCAAUGAUACGUAGCCGAACUGAGAGGUUGAUCGGCCACAUUGGGACUGAGACACGGCCCAAACUCCUACGGGAGGCAGCAGUAGGGAAUCUUCCACAAUGGACGAAAGUCUGAUGGAGCAACGCCGCGUGAGUGAAGAAGGUUUUCGGAUCGUAAAACUCUGUUGUCAGAGAAGAACGUGUGCGAGAGUAACUGUUCGUGCAGUGACGGUAUCUGGCCAGAAAGCCACGGCUAACUACGUGCCAGCAGCCGCAGUAA